UAAGGUCUCAGGGUGCAUCAAUUACACUAAUUUGGGAAAGUGAUCACAUUCAUGCAGGGCUGUUAUUUUUAAAGAAAAGACAUUUCAGUGUAUUGAUGGGGAAUCGGUGUCCGGAGUAUAUAGAUUUCCAGUUAUCCCCUGUCAUGGCAAGAGUCCAUCGGUUUCCUUUAAGAAAUGAAGAACACAUUAUGCCUGGUAUUAACAAAGAUCAAUUUCAGUAAAGGAAGACAUCCAACACAAGGGAGUUAAACAGAGCUGGGAAUAAAUGACGUAAUGUUUGAAGCGAUAAGGGAUAAGUCAUGCUGGGACUCCAAGUUCUUGUAUAAGUGAUGAUUAAAUGGACUUUUUGUCCCUGCCUUUUGCUAAAGGUGAUAUUUCUUUACUGUAAAGUAUAAUGUAUCUAUUUUGGCAUCGUCAGUGAAGUAUGCAGUUAAUAAUUGGGCUUCUUAAAGAUUUCAGAAUUCUUUGGUCUUAACAUGAAGGGAGGGUCUUAUCUUUACUGCUAACUCAUUUCUGUUCUUCAAACCGAAGCGACAGUCUUUUAUAAGAAUUUGGCUUUGGGUGUUAUCUUUCAAGAAAACAGUAUUCCAAACUUCAAUACAGUGAAUAGAGUCAAACAGACACCAUGAGAAUAAUAUGGGAGAUUUUGGAAAUAGAGUAAAGAUAAACUCUCUGCCGAGAUGUGAGAUGCAAUGAAAAAAAAGGAAAUGAUGAGGUGAAUAGGAACAACACUGGUGCAGGAUUUCUCUCAGCGUCUCUUAAAAAAAAAAUGACAACGACAACUAAACCAGACUUUUUCUUUUUCUUUUGGGGUCCAUGAAAGCUAUUUAAUAAUUUAACUCUAUUCAUAUGUUUAAAGCUGGAAGAGACCUCAGAUAUUUCAAGAUGAGAAAGCCCAGGGAGGUAGUGUGACUUACAGAGGAUCACAGUGUCCCUUUCUCCUGGCUGGUAGCCAUUUCUUGGUAGCUAGAUUUUCAUUUUGAAGAGGAGAAUUCCGUUAAAACAAAACAAAACAUUGUCCCAAUUUUUUAAAUUCUGUUUUUGAUGGUGGUAUUGACUUUUGAACAUGCCCCAGAAAAUGAGCACUUUGAUUGGAUGCCAGGAAUGUUAACUUGGAACUAAGCAGAAUGCUGAGAUUCUGAUUCCGUGUUGCUUGAGGACUGGCACUUGUGACAUCUCUAGCUCAGACACAGGGUCAUGGAGGAGACAAGAUCUAACCAGGAGAAAAGAACAAAGAACCUCAUCUAAAAAAAAAAAAAAAAGAAAAUGUCCAUUUCAUCAUUUUUUCCAGGCUCACCUCUAGGUCUAUUUGAUGCAUUUCCUUGGCCCGUCCAUCUGUGUUCCCUGUCUGGGGUAUGUUUUCAGGCCUCUGAGGAUACAUUUCACCCUGGAAGUGGACACAAGCAAUCAGAGUUCAAGAUGUGGUGGAUUCUGAGGAUGCAGGGAUGAACAAGACACAAUCCCUGCUUCCAGGACUUGCACACGGUUGAUGGACAAGGAAGGAGGCCACUGAGUGAGAGGGGAGACUGCAGAUCCAUUCUACAUAUACCCACCUCUGCUUUGGAAGCAGAACUGAAGCAUGCUGCUGUGAAUUUUAUAAACAAUUCACCAAGGUGUACACGGGUGUCACCUAUGGACCUUGUGCUGACAUAAAUUGGGGCUCUACACGUGGCAUCUUUCACUUCAGUGUAGUGUGAAAUAUGCCCUGUUGGGACACUGAUGGAAUAUAGUACCCGAUUUUAACUAAACUAACUCUCAGAAAAUGAACACUUGGCUUUAAAAGUUUCCUGCCAAGAAAUAGCAGUUGGAAGGUUUAUGCAGACAGACAAUGUGGAAAUGGCCCAGCUGACCAUGAGCCCAGCACGUAAAUGGCUCUGGGUCAGCCACGCUGCGAGGUGCAGCAGUGGUGAUCUGAUCACUUCUGACGAGACGUCAGCCAAAUGAAAAACAUGGAAACGAUGAUUCUUUGAAAUACAUGUUUACAUCCACUGUCAUUAAUCUGCCUCAAAUGUUAGGCUGCAUGUGAGUAGGAAGUCACCAUGAGUAGCAGAAUGUCCAAAAAGUAAGCAUUCAGAAUGAAGACACAAACUUCUAAAAUAGCGUUGGCAUUAUUUUAGGUUGGGUGACGCCCAAUCCACUAUUUUUUUUAAAUGUCAGUGUACAACAAUUAAGAAGCAUCUUUAAGGGUUUCUUAGAAGAAGCAAAAGAUCAUGCAUAUUUUUUCUGUAUUCUUCCUUCUAUGGUAAAAAUGGCUGAAACAGAUGUGGAAAAGAAUACGGUCACAAACUAGAAUGGAUUCCUUGAUCAGCAAAUAGUAUUUAAAAAUGCACAGAAAACAUGGUUGAAGGUUAGAAGAAAUGUGUACAGACGAAUUAUACUGAGUGGGAGGUUUGUUAUGCUUUGGGGUGAAAGCACAGAUGUCUGAGUUAAUGGUAUUACUAGGUUAUUUUUCAAUAAUGAACUUUGUAAGAACAAAGUGUGUGUGUGUGUGUGUGUGUGUGUGAGAGAGAGAGAGAGAGAGAGAGACAGAGAGAGAGAGAGAGAGUCACUAAUGGAAUGAGGCACUAAGAAGAUGUAUUCUCCAUAGAAAAUGGCUUCUAGAAAACUUAGUGAAUGUUAGCACCAAAGGAACAAGUGGUUUGAUUGGAGGAAAAAAGGAUUUGCAAGUCAGGCUACAGAUUUGCCCCAUGUGUGAAAUUCUUUAAUUCAUUUGUCCUAAGCAAGAUAUUGCAGCAAAGAAAUGAAAGCCAAAUGAGUGCCUGUGUGGCUCAGUCAGUUAGUAGACAGACUCUUGAUUUCGAAUCAAGUCAUGAUCUCACUGCGGUGGACUCCAGCCCCGAGUUGGGCCACAUGCUGAGGGGCCUGCUUGGGAUUCUCUCUCUUCCUCUGUCUUUGCCCCUCCACUGCUCAUGCUUGCUCACACUCUCUCUCAAAAUAAAUAAAUAAAUAAAUAAAUAAACAAACAAACAAACAAACAGCAAUCGCUAUCAAAAUAACACCCGGAUUUUUCACAGAGCUAGAAAAAACAACCCUAAAAUUUGUAUGGAAUCAGAAAAGAUCCCAAAUAGCCAAAGCAAUCUUGAAAAAGAAAACCAAAGCCGGAGGCAUCACAAUCCCGGACUUCAAGCUAUACUACAAAGCUGUAAUCAUCAAGACAGUAUGGUACUGACACAGAAACAGACGCUCAGAUCUAUGAAACAGAAUAGAGAACCCAGAAAUGGGCCCACAAAUGUAUGGCCAACUAAUCUUUGACAAAACAGGAAGAAAUAUCUAAUGGAAUAAAGACAGUCUUUUCAGAAAGUGGUGCUGGGAAAACAGGACAGCGACAUGCAGAAAAAUGAACCUGGAACACUUUAUUACACUAUACACAAAAAUAAACUCAAAAUGGAUGAAAGUAAACAUAAGACAGAAAGCCAUCAAAAUCCUCGAGGAGAAAGCAAGCAAAAACCUCUUUGACCUCGGCCACAGAAACUUCUUACUCAACACGUCUCCGGAGGCAAGGGGCACAAAAGCAAAAAUGAUCUACUGGGACCUUAUCAAAAGAAAAAUCUUCUGCACAGUGAAGGAAACAAUUGGCAAAACAAAAAGGCAACCAGUGGAAUGGGAGAGGAUACUUGAAAACAACAUAUCAGAUAAAGGAAUAAAGGACUAGUAUCCAAAAUCUAUAAAGAACUGACAAACUCAACACCCAAAAAACAAAUAAUCCAGUGAAGAAAUGGGCAAAAGACAUGAAUAUAUAUACUCCUCCAAAGACAUCCAGAUGGCCAACCGACACAUGAAAAAAUGCUCAAUAUCACUCGUCAUCAGGGAAAUACAAAUCAAAACCACAAUGAGAUACUACCUCACACCUGUCACAAUGGCUAACAUCAACAACUCAGGCAACAACAGAUGUUGGUGAGGAUGUGGAGAAAGAGGAUCUCUUUUGCACUGCUGGUGGGAAUGCAAACUGGUGCAGCCACUCUGGAAAACAGUAUGGAGAUUCCUCAAAAAAUUAAACAUAGAACUACCCUACAACCCAGCAAGUGCACUACUAGGUAUUUAUCCAAGGGAUACAGGUGUGCUGUUUCGAAGGGACACAUGCACCCCAAUGUUUAUAACAAUAUUGACAAUACCCAAAGUACAGAAAGAUCCCACAUGUCCAUUGAUGGAUGAGUGGAUAAAGAUGUGGUAUAUAUAUGCAAUGGAGAAUUACUCAGCAAUCAAAAAGAAUGAAAUCUUGCCAUCUGCAACUAUGUGGAUGGAACUAGAGGGUAUUGUGCAGAGCAAAAUUAGAGAAAGACAAAUAUCAUAUGACUUCACUCAUCAGGGAUUUAAAAUACAAAACAGAUGAACACAAGGGAAGAGAAGCAAAAAUAAUAUACAAAAAGGAGGAAGACAAAACAUAAGAGACUCUUAAAUAUAGAGAACAAGCAGAGGGUUGCUGGAGGGGUUGAGGGAGGAGGGAAUGGGCUAAAUGGGUAAGGGGCUUAAGGAACCUACUCCAGAAAUCAUUGUUGCACCAUGUGCUAACUUGGAUGAUAAAUAAACAAACAAACAAACAAAAACACAAACUUACAAAGAAGUAGAAGUCAGAAUUUCAUAGGGCAAUACUCUCAAACCUGAACGUGUGUGUGAGCCACCUGAGGUCUUGUAAAAUGUAGAUUUUACAAGUCCUAACCUGUCCUAGAUUCUGCAUUUCUAACCAGCUUCAGGUGAUGCUGCUGCUGCUGCUGGUCAAUGUACCACACUUUGAGUAGCGAGACCAUACAGAAACAGAGAAUGUAAGGGUUGGUAUUAAUUUUACAAAAAUGAGAUCAUCUGCAAUGUAGUAAAAUAUUUCUUUUGUACUGACAUGUGGAGUGAUCAUGCAAAUCAUUUGUACUGCGGAGAGGUUUGCCGGUUAUCUUGUGGCAAAGUCCUUAAGAGUGGUCAUACAGGAGGUUGUGUUUUUGCAAAAAUGCAAUUUUGUGUUUUGCUGCUGGUGGUGUUUUUGCAAAAAUUCAAUUUUGUCAAAUUUCUGAUCUUUUAAAUAAUGUCAAAUAACGAUUAGAUUUCUACCUAACAAGUAGAAUACACACAUACGUAAUACACACACACACACACACACACACACACACCCCUAAUCUGUUCCUCAAUGUAAAAGUGGCAAUUUAAUAAUGAGUGAGAAAGUAACCGACCUUCAGAAGAAGCUGGUGCUAUAGAGAAACCAUUGUUUUCAUCAUUAUGUGACAUUGUUGAACACGACACAGGCACCACCUAUGACAUCUUUCAUGUCUUCACACUAAGACACUGGAUUUUCUAGCAUUUAAAAAUCAAUCACACAAUCUUGAACACAUUUUACAAAAAUAUAAAAACAUAGCUAUAUUCCAUCAGUGUCCCUUCUGAUUCAUUCAUAAGAAAAUUAGGUUGAGCUCAGAAAACACAGAAAGGUAUUAGCUGAAUUUCCACAAAACAUUUGCAUAAUUGGUGAACAUGACUGAGCAAAGAAUACCAUGAUUUAGUAAGAGGGGCUGAUGGUGCAAGCCUUCCAUUUGGAUCUAUCAAGUGUGUUUUUUACCUCAGACAGCAAUUAAAACCAAGUAAGAAAACAAACCAAACUUAGGAUGAAACCAUUGAAUGAUUGUAUCACAAAGUCCUAAACCAAGAUUUUAAAACAGAAAGCAGCAUACUGAACUGCAUUGUUCCCACAAAGAAUGUUAAUAAUAUGUAAAAGAUUUUAGUGAGAGUAAAUAUUGCCAAUAAUAAAAUAAUUACUUAAGAG